AAGAUGGACUUGAGGCUGAGCUGGAUUUUCCUUUUUGCUCUUUUCAAAGGUGUCCAAUGUGAUCCACAGCUGGUGGAGACUGGGGGAGGCUUGGUACAGCCUGGAGGGUCUCUAAAACUCUCCUGUGCAGCUUCUGGAUUCACAUUCAGUGAUUACUGGAUGGACUGGGUCCGCCAGGCACCAGGGAAGGGCCUAGAGUGGGUUGGUAGAAUUAAACAUAAACCUAAUAAUUAUGAAACAAGCUAUGUAGAGUCUGUGAAAGGCAGAUUCACCAUCUCAAGAGAUGAUUCCAAAAGCAUGCUGUACCUGCAAAUGAACAACUUAAGAGUCGAAGACACCGCCAUUUAUUACUGUGCUAGAGACACAAUGAGAAGAUUUCAGUGUGAACCCUGACACAAACCUCCCUGUAGCAAUGCCCAGAACCAGCAGGGGGCACAGAGCACACAUGAGCCAGUGCAGGAACAGGUGCAGACAGAAUUCAGUGCUCCUUUAUAUGGCCCAUCUCCUGAUUUCACGUAA